GACGAACGCUGGCGGCGUGCUUAACACAUGCAAGUCGAACGGGAACAUCAGAAUAGUUUACUAAUUUGAUGUUUUAGUGGCGGACGGGUGAGUAACACGUGGGCAACCUGCCUUAUAGAGGGGGAUAACAGCGAGAAAUCGUUGCUAAUACCGCAUAAAGUUAUUAUUUCGCAUGAUAUAAUAAUGAAAGGAAUAAUCCGCUAUACGAGGGGCCCGCGCCUGAUUAGCUAGUUGGUGGGGUAAAAGCCUACCAAGGCGACGAUCAGUAGCCGAUCUGAGAGGAUGACCGGCCACACUGGAACUGAGACACGGUCCAGACUCCUACGGGAGGCAGCAGUGGGGAAUAUUGCACAAUGGAGGGAACUCUGAUGCAGCAACGCCGCGUGGAGGAAGAAGGUUUUCGGAUUGUAAACUCCUGUCAUUUGGGACGAUAAUGACGGUACCAAAGGAGGAAGCCACGGCUAACUACGUGCCAGCAGCCGCGGUAAAAGUGUGU
rnacentral:rRNA from 1 species